AUUCUUAAAUUUCUUCUUAACGUCGUUUCCUUCUUCACCUUCGCCCUCGACUUCUUUAUCUUCAUAACCCUUCGUCACUUUGCCGUCCCUGGUUUCCUUGCCUUUUCCUCUUCCAAAUCACUAAUUCUGAAAACCCAAGCUUCAGGAGUUCAUGACGUUGCGAAUGCUUUUUGAGGAGCUCUCCGAUGGCGUUUUUGAGGAGCUUGUGAUUCGCAUAACUUUUGUGUCUCGCCAUUUCCAUCUCCCAACCUUCGUGUCUCGCCGUUUCCAUCUUGCGAUGUUCACACCCUACCGCUGUCAGCGGUGUCUGCGCAACCGUCGACUGUGCUCUCGCCGCCACGGCCAAAGGCCGAACUCGCUAGAGUAGCGCGAUUCUCGCAAAUCUGUUUGGCCGGUAGAGGCGGAGGCAUCACAUGAAGACCAGGAAGUCUCACACUGGAUUGAUGAAGAACAGGAUGCCGAAGAUUCAAAGAACGGUGACGCCGCUGUAGAAGAAAGCGUGCUCUCUCGGAAGGCAUAAACGGAUCCAUAAGAUAGCGACAUCAAAAGCACCGCAACUUUUUCUUCCUCCCCGAGCUUCUUCCAAUGUGAUCGAUGCAACAAUACCUCCCUCCCCAACGCGCCGCCACCGAUAGCGGCGGCCCCGGUGCCGCCCCUCUUCUUCCCCUUUCUCCCAUCCUCGUUGUUCUCCUUGCUUAUCCCCAUAAUCGCUCUCUUCUUCUUCCUGCUUCUGAUCCUGCAGGCGUUGCACAGAGACUGAAAAAAUUAACGAUAAGAGAGUGAGAUCAAGGGUUGAUGUUAGUCCAGGUGGCGCGAUCUGGGAAAUGAAGAGAGUACUAACCUUAGGCCCUGCCGGACCACCCCUCCAGAGUGGAGUCUUGGUGGUGCCGCAAUAGGCACAUGUUUUCUUCUGCUCAUUGUUGCUGCUUGGAUUGUUCCCCGAGGAAGGCGCGUUAGGGUUUUAGUCCUCACCCUCCGAUCCCUGCACAACAACCUCCAUUAAUCAAAUAAACCCCGAAACCUCCAUGGUCUGUCAAUUGAGAUAUCUCUUGGAUGUCCAUUUUCUUUUCACGUGCAUGUGUUAUGUAUUCAUGCCUUCUUUCUAUAUAUUAUAAUUCUUAGAUGCAGACUGUAGAGGAUGAACAAAGGGAGCAACUUGCAAAGGAAAUUUCAAAGGAUUGAAGUUGUGGUAUUUAUUUAGAAUCCUCUGUUUUCAGGUUUAUUGUUGUUCUUUUUGACAUUCUCCAUAAUGUAACUAAUUCAUUGUUGUUGUUCUGGAUGAUAGCUUACUCUGAAAUACUUCUUUGAAACAAAAGUUACAAUCAAUUAUCCAUUUGAGAAAGGACCUUUGAGCCCUCGUUUUCGUGGUGAACAUGCUCUCAAAAGAUAUCCAACAGGGGAGGAACGUUGUAUUGCUUGCAAACUUUGUGAAGCUGUAAGGCUUUGAU